UACAGAGGGGGCAAGCGUUGUUCGGAAUUACUGGGCGUAAAGGGCGCGUAGGCGGCCUUCUAAGUCGAACGUGAAAUCCCCGGGCUCAACCCGGGAACUGCGUCCGAUACUGGAAGGCUUGAAUCCGGGAGAGGGAUGUGGAAUUCCAGGUGUAGCGGUGAAAUGCGUAGAUAUCUGGAGGAACACCGGUGGCGAAGGCGACAUCCUGGACCGGUAUUGGCGCUGAGGCGCGAAAGCCAGGGGAGCAAACGGG
rnacentral:rRNA from 1 species